rnacentral:rRNA from 1 species
GACGAACGCUGGCGGCGUGCUUAACACAUGCAAGUCGAACGGAAAGGCCCUGCUUUUGUGGGGUGCUCGAGUGGCGAACGGGUGAGUAACACGUGAGUAACCUGCCCUUGACUUUGGGAUAACUUCAGGAAACUGGGGCUAAUACCGGAUAGGAGCUCCUGCUGCAUGGUGGGGGUUGGAAAGUUUCGGCGGUUGGGGAUGGACUCGCGGCUUAUCAGCUUGUUGGUGGGGUAGUGGCUUACCAAGGCUUUGACGGGUAGCCGGCCUGAGAGGGUGACCGGCCACAGUGGGACUGAGAUACGGCCCAGACUCCUACGGGAGGCGGCAGUGGGGAAUAUUGCACAAUGGGCGGAAGCCUGAUGCAGCAACGCCGCGUGCGGGAUGACGGCCUGCGGGUUGUAGACCGCUUUCGCCUGUGACGAAGCGUGAGUGACGGUAAUGGGUAAAGAAGCACCGGCUAACUACGUG